CCUCCUCCUCCUCCCCAGGCUGCGAUCACAUCCUUCUGUCAAGGAUGUAACCUGCGCGGGUUGGUUUGCAUUUGAAAGUUGCUGAUAUGACUCCCUGCCUUUCCCUUUCUCGACAUGUCUGAAGCCAUUCACCUCUCUGUCCUGGUGUGCCUGCUCGCAGCCGCACUCUGCAGCGGCUCUAAUGUUUCCACUACAACUGAACAGGGAAAACCUACAACUGCUCCCACUUUAAUAUCAACUGCACAGACGUCCAACAGCAGCACAACCCGGCUUCAAACAACAGCUCACCGGGUCACCUCUGAAGCAGCUUCAACUGCUCCAGGAACGCUGGGAACAGCUGAAACCAGUCCAAGCACCCGUCCUCCGACUACACUGAUCCCAGCAACGCUCAAUGAGACUGUUACCCAGGGACACACGGUCUCACCUGGAACACCAAAUGUGGGGACAAACACAACCGUACAUACAACCAGCCAAGCUUCUUCGUCCAUCCAGAUCCAAGGUGACUUGGCGGCAAACCCUGGCCUCGUAGCCGUCAUUUCCAUCUUCUGCAUCGUCCUCGGCCUGACGCUGGUGGUCAUGACAGUAAAAUGUAUCCAGUCACCAAGAUCCAACUUUGAGAGGCUUGAAGAUGUGCCCAUGGGCAAGGUGAAUGAAGAGUCUCCAUUUGCCCUUUACUCCAAAUGAUGGAUCUGUCCGGUCUGCAGGGUGGAUCAGAGAAUCUCCAGAUAUAUUUUGGACAUCAGUCAGCAGACAUUCCCACUCUCAGCUCACAUCUCUUAUUUGUUGCACUUUUGUCAUUGCAAGGGGAACAUUCCUGUAUCUGCUUUGACUUGUUUCUCUGCUGCUGGGAAAUCAAAAUCAAAAUAGUUAUUGCACAAAAUGUUAUUCUCCAUUUUAUUUGGUUUAAUGGGUAAAACUUUUUUUUAUAAGUACUGUUGUAUUUUACUUUAUGUUCAAUUUAUAAAAACAGUUAAAUAACAUAAAGAUUAAAAAAUUAUAUUUUAUAACAGUUUUUGGACAUUUUUACUUUUAACAGCACAAACAAACAUUUCAAGAAUUGAAAGUUUGCAAAUGCAUUUGGAAUUUGGAUGUAAGAAAUAUGUUUUCUACUGUCAGAGUGUUGAUUAUUAAAUUCAUUUUUUAAUUACUGCAAAGUUAUAUUUUAAAAAAUUGGUUUCUAAAUAAUCGGGGUAAAAAAGGCAAACUUUAAAUCCAAAUAGAUGCUGAGUAAACGUGCUAACUCAAGCCAUUUCUGUAUUCAGUCAAUUUUAUCCUAUUGUUUUCAGUUACAGUAACAACAAAACUGUUGUUUUCUGCUCUAUAAAGAGAAUAUUUAGCUUCAGUCAUCCGGUCCGCCUUGUUCAAGUUUCCCAAUUGGCAGUGUUAAGCCUUUUUGAAUAUCAAUAAAGUUUUAGAUGGAAUGCAAAACAAAAC
rnacentral:lncRNA from 1 species